CAUGCAAGUCGAGGGGAAACGACAUCGAAAGCUUGCUUUUGAUGGGCGUCGACCGGCGCACGGGUGAGUAACGCGUAUCCAACCUGCCCAUCACUUGGGGAUAACCUUGCGAAAGUAAGACUAAUACCCAAUGACGUCUCUAGAAGACAUCUGAAAGAGAUUAAAGAUUUAUCGGUGAUGGAUGGGGAUGCGUCUGAUUAGCUUGUUGGCGGGGUAACGGCCCACCAAAGCAACGAUCAGUAGGGGUUCUGAGAGGAAGGUCCCCCACAUUGGAACUGAGACACGGUCCAAACUCCUACGGGAGGCAGCAGUGAGGAAUAUUGGUCAAUGGACGAGAGUCUGAACCAGCCAAGUAGCGUGCAGGAUGACGGCCCUAUGGGUUGUAAACUGCUUUUAUAAGGGAAUAAAGUGAGUCUCGUGAGACUUUUUGCAUGUACCUUAUGAAUAAGGACCGGCUAAUUCCGUGCCAGCAGCCGCGGUAAUACGGAAGGUCCGGGCGUUAUCCGGAUUUAUUGGGUUUAAAGGGAGCGUAGGCCGGAGAUUAAGCGUGUUGUGAAAUGUAGAUGCUCAACAUCUGCACUGCAGCGCGAACUGGUUUCCUUGAGUACGCACAAAGUGGGCGGAAUUCGUGGUGUAGCGGUGAACUGCUUAGAUAUCACGAAGAACUCCGAUUGCGAAGGCAGCUCACUGGAGCGCAACUGACGCUGAAGCUCGAAAGUGCGGGUAUCGAACAGGAUUAGAUACCCUGGUAGUCCGCACGGUAAACGAUGGAUGCCCGCUGUUGGUCUGAAUAGGUCAGCGGCCAAGCGAAAGCAUUAAGCAUCCCACCUGGGGAGUACGCCGGCAACGGUGAAACUCAAAGGAAUUGACGGGGGCCCGCACAAGCGGAGGAACAUGUGGUUUAAUUCGAUGAUACGCGAGGAACCUUACCCGG
rnacentral:rRNA from 1 species